AAUUACUCAUUCAUUGAUCUUCCCACACCAUCUAUCAUUUCUAUAUGAUGAAACUUCGGCUCACUUCUUGGUGCCUGUCUAACCCUCUAGAUUAUUACAGUACUAUUUUUGGCCAUGCACUAUGCAUCAGACACCUCAACUGCCUUCUCUUCAGUCGCUCAUAUCAGCCGAGAUGUAAACUACGGCUGAAUGGUCCGCUAUUUUUAUGCUAACAGCACUUCAAUAUUUUUCAUCUGCCUCUUCUUACAUGUUGGCCGAGGUCUAUACUAGGUAUCAUUUACAUUUCUAGAAACCUGAAAUAUCGGCAUUAUCCUCCUACUCACAACUAUGGCAACAGCAUUCAUAGGCUACAUGCUCCCAUGAGGCCAGAUAUCAUUCGGAGGCGCUACAGUAAUUACAAAUCUACUAUCAGCCAUGCCAUCUAUUGGAAGUGACCUUCUGCAAUGAAUC
rnacentral:lncRNA from 1 species